rnacentral:rRNA from 1 species
UACGUAGGGGGCGAGCGUUGUCCGGAUUUAUUGGGCGUAAAGAGCGUGUAGGCGGCCAGGUAGGUCAGCUGUGAAAACUCGAGGCUCAACCUCGAGACGUCGGUUGAAACCACCUGGCUAGAGUCCGGAAGAGGAGAGUGGAAUUCCUGGUGUAGCGGUGAAAUGCGCAGAUAUCAGGAAGAACACGCGUGGCGAAGGCGGCUCUCUGGGACGGUACUGACGCUGAGACGCGAAAGCGUGGGGAGCGAACAGG